UACAGAGGGUGCGAGCGUUGUCCGGAAUCACUGGGCGUAAAGGGUGCGUAGGCGGGUCUUUAAGUCAGGGGUGAAAUCCUGGAGCUCAACUCCAGAACUGCCUUUGAUACUGAAGAUCUUGAGUUCGGGAGAGGUGAGUGGAACUGCGAGUGUAGAGGUGAAAUUCGUAGAUAUUCGCAAGAACACCAGUGGCGAAGGCGGCUCACUGGCCCGAUACUGACGCUGAGGCACGAAAGCGUGGGGAGCAAACAGG
rnacentral:rRNA from 1 species